GUUCUCUCUUCACAGCUGACGACAGUAGCGUCGGGUCGAAGCACUAAUGGUGCAGAACAUUCAUCUUCAAUGUUGAUUGGUGUAGAGAAAUUUACCAAAGAUACGGUCGGCCACCAAGCCCCACAUCGACGCUCCAGGGCCGCCUAUGCUGUCCAUCGUUGGGAAUAUUCUGGAGUUUCUCGACAUGCCGUUGAUCCUCUGUAAGAUGUUCGACCUCCACCAGCAGUACGGCGACUUGUUGAGAAGAUGGUAUUCUGGCCAUGGAUGUAGAGCAAGUUCCUGCUGCAGCUGACCUCCAAAGGACGUGGUCUGUUCAUGUUCGUCAAAAUUAUGCAGAACUUGGCCAUGCAGUGCAUCGCCAUAAGGUCGGCAGCCACAGAGGACGGACUUACCAAACCACACCAGUGCCUGAUGGAAGCUCUGGUCAAUCCAGGCGGGCAGACUCCAAUGCCACUCGACGAGAUUCAGGGCAAGAAUAUACUUAUAUUGCAAUGAGGACUGCAAGGAUUGUCUCUAGCCAGCACUUUUACAAUUUAGCAUAGCCAACCAAUAAUUCGGUUUGGUGCGGACACAUGAGUUCACUGUGCCGGCAUACCAGACUGCACAAAAAGUCACUGCCUCAU